AUGGAGGGACCCCCCAACCACCAUCGGGACCAGGGAGGCGGCACAGGAGCAGGGCAGCUCGAGAGCUUCACGUCUCUGUUCCUUCCUGCCCGAAGGAGAGGGGAUGGGAGGACAGCCCGAGGAGCCGCAGCAUUUGCUGCAUCAGAUGUCUUGGGGCAUGAGACAAGGCGGAACAAAGCUCUCGGGAGCCAGACAAGUGCAGACCCAGGGCUUGCCGAGGUCUGCGCCGCAGCAUCCCCAGGUUUUGGUCCUGGCCCGGGGAAAGGGAUGCGCAAUGCAAGACCAAAACACAGUGCUGAAGAAAGAAAACAAGACAGUGUGGGAGGAGAGGGCGAGGAUGUGGGGCUAAGAGAAAACGGGGGGGAGGCACUUCAAAGGCAGGCAGGGUCGACCCGCUCCCCCCGCUGCAGUCUCAUGCUCAGCAGGGGAUGGAGGCAAGGCAGCUCCGGCGGGGAGAGUGGCAGAGGGAAGUGCUUUUCUUCUCACUUUGGCGUCAGAGCCUUCCCCUGGAUCGCAGGCGUCCCUUUGAAACCCUGCACCUCACCUCUUCGCACCUGGGUGCGGAGUGAGGGAUCCUGGAGCCCCAUGCUGGCAGCAUUCGGCCAGGCCCUGGGAACCAGCGCUGCCUGGCCCCUGCCCCACACCGAGGGCACGCGAGCAGGAGCAGCUGGGAGGGCAGCGAGGAAACGGGGAGCUCAGCCAGCCCCGUGGGGUGCCAGCAGCGCCCGUACCCCCACACCAAAACCGGGUGCUGUGGCCGGGGACACGUCGUGGGGCAGCGGCACGGGCAGGGCUCCGUGGGAGCUCCCAGUCCCGGAGGAAGCGAGGCUGUGCUUCGAGGCUGGCUCUUUUCCAAAGGAGGGCAGUGCCCGGCUCCACAGAGGGGUUUGCGGGAGAAGGGAUCUGGCCACGGUCUGCGGUGCCCCCUCCAUCACAGCCGGGAGCACAGCCACGUGCAGACAAGUGCGUGGGAGCAGAUGGGAUUUACGUUUGUGGGCGCUGUGA
rnacentral:lncRNA from 1 species